rnacentral:misc_RNA from 1 species
GUGAAUCAUCGAAUCUUUGAACGCACAUUGCGCCCCUUGGUAUUCCGAGGGGCAUGCCUGUUCGAGCGUCAUUACACCCCUCAAGCACUGCUUGGUCUUGGGCUCCGCCGCUCACCCGGCGGGCCUCAAAACGAGUGGCGGCGCCAUCAGGCUCUGAGCGUAGUAAAUUUCCUCGCUACGGAGUCCUGGUGGACGCUGGCCAUCAACCCCCAACUUUCUAAGUUUGACCUCGGAUCAGGUAGGGAUACCCGCUGAACUUAAGCAUAUCAAUAAGCGGAGGA